rnacentral:rRNA from 1 species
UACAGAGGGGGCAAGCGUUGUUCGGAAUUACUGGGCGUAAAGGGCGCGUAGGCGGUUCGUUAAGUCCUGUGUGAAAUCCCCCGGCUCAACUGGGGAACUGCACAGGAAACUAGCGGGCUUGAGUUCGGGAGAGGGAAGCGGAAUUCCGGGUGUAGCGGUGAAAUGCGUAGAUAUCUGGAGGAACACCGGUGGCGAAGGCGGCAUCCUGGACCGGUAUUGACGCUGAGGCGCGAAAGCCAGGGGAGCAAACGGG